UGGGGAAUAUUGGACAAUGGGGGGAACCCUGAUCCAGCCAUGCCGCGUGUGUGAAGAAGGCCUUCGGGUUGUAAAGCACUUUAAUUUGGGAGGAAGGGCUUACGGUUAAUAACCGCUAAGUUUUGACGUUACCAAAAGAAUAAGCACCGGCUAACUUCGUGCCAGCAGCCGCGGUAAUACGAAGGGUGCAAGCGUUAAUCGGAAUUACUGGGCGUAAAGCGCGCGUAGGUGGUUCAGUAAGUUAGGAGUGAAAGCCCCGGGCUCAACCUGGGAAUUGCUUCUAAAACUGCUGGGCUAGAGUACAGUAGAGGGUGGUGGAAUUUCCUGUGUAGCGGUGAAAUGCGUAGAUAUAGGAAGGAACAUCAGUGGCGAAGGCGACCACCUGGACUGAUACUGACACUGAGGUGCGAAAGCGUGGGGAGCAAACA
rnacentral:rRNA from 1 species